rnacentral:rRNA from 1 species
CCCUUAGACGUUCUGGGCCGCACGCGCGCUACACUGACGAAGGCAACGAGCUUUCCUUUACCGAAAGGUACGGGUAAUCUUUUGAAACUUCGUCGUGCUGGGGAUAGAUCCUUGCAAUUUUUGAUCUUAAACGAGGAAUGCCUAGUAAGCGCAAGUCAUCAACUUGCGUUGAUUACGUCCCUGCCCUUUGUACACACCGCCCGUCGCUACUACCGAUUGAAUGGUUUAGUGAGGCCUUCGGAUCCGCGACUCGUUUGUGGAGAAGUUGGACAAACUCAGUCAUUUAGCGGAAGUAAAAGUCGUAACA